rnacentral:rRNA from 1 species
CAGCCGCCGCGGUAACACGGAGGGAGCUAGCGUUGUUCGGAAUUACUGGGCGUAAAGCGCGCGUAGGCGGUUACUCAAGUCAGAGGUAAAAGCCCGGGGCUCAACCCCGGAACUGCCUUUGAAACUAGGUGACUAGAAUCUUGGAGAGGUCAGUGGAAUUCCGAGUGUAGAGGUGAAAUUCGUAGAUAUUCGGAAGAACACCAGUGGCGAAGGCGACUGACUGGACAAGUAUUGACGCUGAGGUGCGAAAGCGUGGGGAGCAAACAGGAUUAGAUACCCCCGUAGUCCCUGUCUCUUAUAC